GGUCAGGUGUCAGUGGGCCCCCUUCCCACUUUGAGGGAACCUUCUGCCACUCCUGGCUCACCCUGCUCCUUGCCUCUUGGCCAUCGUGACGUCUAAGGCAGACGCUGCUGAAGACCUGCUGCCAGAGCCGCACGGGCUGGAGCCAGGAGAGGGAUGGAAGGGGGUUAAGCCCACCCCAGGAGCCAUGCAGUUGAAGCUGGAGCGGGUAGGGGCUCAAGCCCACCGUUGGAGCCUCCUGCUGAAGUGGGGGUUGGGGGGGUUGAAGUCCACCCCCGGCGUCCCACAGCUGGGUCACCCUAACUCUGCAUUGUAGACCAGGGCUAAGUGAUGUAGGAGCCUAAUGAGUGUGACUGCUGUUUGUUGGCCCAGCUGUGAGUAAUUUACACCUCAAAGAGACGGGACAGCAGGACAAGCAGCUUGUUCAAUAUCUUCAUAAAUGAUCUGGAGGAUGGUGUGGAUUGCACCCUCAGCAAGGUUGCAGACGACACUAAACUGGGAGGAGAGGUAGAUACGCUGGAGGGUAGGGAUAGGAUACAGAGGGCCUUAGACAAAUUAGAGGACUGGACCAAAAGAAAUCUGAUGAGGUUCAACAAGGACAAAUGCAGAGUCCUGCACUUAGGACGGAAGAAUCCCAUGCACUGCUACAGACUAGGGACCGAAUGGCUCGGCAGCAGUUCGGCAGAAAAGGACCUAGGGGUUACAGUGGAUGAGAAGCUGGAUAUGAGUCAACAGUGUGCCCUUGUUGCCAAGAAGGCCAAUGGCAUUUUGGGAUGUAUAAGUAGGGGCAUUGCCAGCAGAUCUAGGGAUGUGAUCGUUCCCCUCUAUUCGACAUUGGUGAGGCCUCAUCUGGAGUACUGUGUCCAGUUUUGGGCCCCACACUACAAGAAAGAUGUGGAAAAUUUGGAAAGAGUCCAGCGGAGGGCAACAAAAAUGAUUCAGGGACUGGAGCACAUGACUUAUGAGGAGAGGCUGAGGGAACUGGGAUUGUUUAGUCUGCGGAAGAGAAGAAUGAGGGGGGAUUUGAUAGCUGCUUUCAGCUACCUGAAAGGGGGUUCCAAAGAGGAUGGAUCUAGACUGUUCUCAGUGGUAGCUGAUGACAGAACAAGGAGUAAUGGUCUCAAGUUGCAAUGGGGGAGGUUUAGGUUGGAUAUUAGGAAAAACUUUUUCACUAGGAGGGUGGUGAAACACUGGAAUGUGUUACCUAGGGAGGUGGUGGAAUCUCCUUCCUUAGAUAUUUUUAAGGUCAGGCUUGACAAAGCCCUGGCUGGGAUGAUUUAGUUGGAGAUCGGUCCUGCUUUGAGCAGGGGGUUGGACUAGAUGACCUCCUGCGGUCCCUUCCAACCCUGAGAGUCUAUGAUUCUAUGGAGGGGGCCAACCUGAGCCUGAGAAGGAGCCAGAAUUUACCAAUGUACAUUGCCAAAGAGCCACAGUAAUACAUCAACAACCCCCCGCAUUAGCUCCCCCCCCCACUCUGCUUCUAGCACCUCCCGCCCACCAGCAGCCCCACCAAUGGGCACCUCCCCCUCCAUCCCCACACCUCCUGAUCAGCUGUUUCGUGGCAUGCAGGAGGCUCUGGGGGGAGGGGGGAGAAGUGAGGGCACCUCAGGCUCAAGGGGGGGAUGGGAAGGCGUAGCGUGGGGGCAGGACCUGUGGCAGAGCCAGGGGCUGAGCAGUGAGUACCCCCCGGCAUAUUGGAAAGUUGGCGCCUGCAGCUCCAGCCCUGGAGUCGGUGCCUAAACAAGGAGCCACAUGUUAACUUCUGAAGAGUCGCAUGGGGCUCCGGAGCCACUGGUUGGCCACCCCUGAACUAAUGGGAGGGUGUACCAGAAACAUGGGGGUCUGAGUCCUUACACUUUCCCAAGACAAUUUACAUGGGGUUGGUCUUGUCUGAGUCAAUGUAUCCCCUUGGUUAGACCAAGACCUCAUCACAUAGGUAGACCCGCCUAAAUUCACGGUCCAUUUUGGUCAAUUUCAUGGCAAUAGAACUUUUACAUUUAGUAAAUUUUGUGAUUUCAGAGGUUUAAAUCUGAAAUUUCAUGGUGUUGUAACUGUUGUGGGGGUCCCGACUCAGAAGAGGGUUUGGGGGGGGGGAUCACAAGGUUACUACAGGGAGGUCACCAUACUGCCACCUUUUCUUCUGCCCUGCUGCUGGUGAUGCCUUGCUGGACAGCAGGAGAGCAGCAGCUGCUGGUCAGGAGCCCAGCUCUGAAGGCAGCACCAGUACCAGCAACAACACAGAAGUGAGGAUGGCCCGGUGCGGUAUGGCAUGGGAGUGUCACCCUUACGUCUGUGCUGCUGCCUGAAGAGCUGGGCCCUCAGUCAGCAUCCGCCACUCUCCAGCCGCCCAGCUCUGAAGGCAGCAGGGCAGAAAUAAGGGUGGCCUGGUAUGGUAUUUCCACCCUUACUUCUGCGCUGCAGCUGGUGGGGUGUUGCCUUCAGAACUGGGCGCCGAGCCAGCAGCCGCUGCCUUCAGGACCGGCUGCCCAGAUCCUUGUGACCCCAGCUCCUUGUGACCCCUCCCCCCCCGUGAUUCUCUUGUGUUGGGACCUCCCGUUUGAGAAACACUCGUCUGUCCCGUGAAUUCUGCAUAGUAUGGGGUAAAAGCACACAAAAGGCCAGAUUUCACAGCCAUGAAGUUGGUAGGGCCCUACACCUAGGCUUAGAUCCUCAAAUAGGUGACUAAAGCCGUUUGAGGCUCUUGGCCUUGGGCCUGCUUUCUCUGUACCUUCUAAAGAAACAAAGACAAGCAAGGAAUACCUGCUCCAGGAAUGGUGCAAGGAUUUCCCCAUGAUGACUGUUUCUGUAACCCUUUUGGGGUUUAGCGAGCAUGGCCCCUUUAAACCUUUGCCCUGAGGGGAAAAAGUGCUGCUCGUUCGAGAGAAUGUGUGUUUGUGUGUGUGUGUUCCCCCCCCCCCGCUAAAAGGGUUCUUGUAGUGAGUAGGCCUUCACAUAGUGAAGCAGCUGAAGCUUGGGUGUAGGGUUACCACCUGGCCAGUACUUGACCAGCCUAGCCGGUUUUUUUAUGGAUUUGCAGUUGCGAGGAAAAUUAUUUACUCUGCUGGGGUUUUUUUAACCUGGGUGUAAGGAUUUGUGUUAUUAUCACAAUACACUGGGAUAACUAAUGUUAAAAGUUUCUGUGUCCAGCUAAAGAUGCUGCAGUGUUCCCACUUCCACAGUUUAAGUGAUAACAGAUCAGAACGGUUGAAAAUACAGCAGCUGGCUGCCCACCUAAAGGCAAGCGCACUGCCUGUGUGUUGAACGAGGGUUUGAGUCAUGUGAGUGUGAGGAGACAUGCAAGGUAUAAUUAAAUAAUAGAAGAGCAGCACUACGGUGUGAGUGAUCCUACUUCACCCCCGGAAAAAAAGCUUGCAUCAGAAACAGCCCAGUCAGUCACAACUGGUUAAACAAACCAGACUACAAAGCCUAGAUGGCAAAAUGUGCUGAUAAAACAAAGUCCCGUAAUUUAUCAUUGAUAUGAUCAAUCAUAUCUAUAUGGGCUAUCUCUCCAGAUACUAUAAGUCGCUGUUGAAGGUAGCGGUUGCGGAGUUGCCUUAUGGUUGGGGUUGCCUCAGACUUGCCGUGAGGAGGGCGGGCUGGCUGGGUAUUUUUGCAUUUCAAAGGUUGUAACCCUACCUGGGAGGGACAUAGUGGCCAACAGGACCAUCCCAGGACUGUGUUAUACCAAUAAAAUAAAAACCAGCAGGAUCUUAUUAAAGGAGAAAAGACAAAGUGCCACAUUUAUUGUGAAUACAGAAAGAAUCAUAGUAAGCAGUUAGAAAAGGAGGACUUGUGGCACCUUAGAGACUAACCAAUUUAUUUGAGCAUAAGCUUUCGUGAGCUACAGCUCACUUCAUCGGAUGCAUACUGUGGAAAGUUUAGAAGAUCUUACAUAGCUCUAACAUUCCAUUCAAUUUCAUAUUUAUUCACACAUUCAUUCAUACACACAGACACAGGUUCCGCAAGGUUGUUAUCAUAGUUACCAGCCUUAGAGUUGCUCAUGCCAAGCCACUGGCCAGGUGGCCUGGAUAUGAGGAGGGAGCAGGGCCUUGUUAGAUGAGCAUUUGUGUGUUUGAGUGAAUGUGUGAAUAAAUAUGAGAUUGAAUGGAAUGUUAGAGCUAUAACUAGCUGCUUACUGACAGGUUUCAGAGUAACAGCCAUGUUAGUCUGUAUUUGCAAAAAGAAAAGGAGUACUUGUGGCACCUUAGAGACUAACCAAUUUAUUUGAGCAAAAGCUUUCGUGAGCUACAGCUCACUUCAUCGGAUGCAUACUGUGGAAAGUGUAGAAGAUCUUUUUAUACACACAAAGCAUGAAAAAAUACCUCCUCCCACCCCACUCUCCUGCUGGUAAUAGCUUAUCUAAAGUGAUCACUCUCCUUACAAUGUGUAUGAUAAUCAAGGUGGGCCAUUUCCAGCACAAAUUUAGGGUUUAACAAGAAAGUCUGAGGGGGAGGAAAAAACAAGGGGAAAUAGGUUACCUUUCAUAAUGACUUAGCCAUUCCCAGUCUCUAUUCAAGCCUAAGUUAAUUGUAUCCAAUUUGCAAAUGAAUUCCAAUUCAAUAGUUUCUCGCUGGAGUCUGGAUUUGAAGUUUUUUUGUUGUAAUAUCGCAACUUUCAUGUCUGUAAUCGCGUGACCAGAGAGAUUGGUUUAUGAAUGUUAUAAUUCUUGACAUGUGGUGUGGUCAGGGUGAAAGCUGGAGGCAUGUAGGUAGGAAUAGCGGUCAGUAGGUUUCCGGUAUAGGGUGGUGUUUAUGUGACCAUCGUUUAUUAGCACUGUAGUGUCCAGGAAGUGGAUCUCUUGUGUGGACUGGACCAGGCUGAGGUUGAUGGUAGGAUGGAAAUUGUUGAAAUCAUGCUCAAGAAACUCCCUGAAAAAGCACAAGAUCAAAUCCGCACAGAUACACCCCUGGAACCCCGACCUGGAAAAUUCUAUCUACUACCCAAGAUCCAUAAACCUGGAAAUCCUGGGCGCCCCAUCAUCUCAGGCAUUGGCACCCUGACAGCAGGAUUGUCUGGCUAUGUAGACUCCCUCCUCAGGCCCUAUGCUACCAGCACUCCCAGCUACCUUCGAGACACCACUGACUUCCUGAGGAAACUACAAUCCAUCGGUGAUCUUCCUGAUAACACCAUCUUGGCCACUAUGGAUGUAGAAGCCCUCUACACCAACAUUCCACACAAAAAUGGACUACAAACCGUCAGGAACACUAUCCCCGAUAAUGUCACGGCUAACCUGGUGGCUGAACUUUGUGACUUUGUCCUUACCCAUAACUAUUUCACAUUUGGGGACAAUGUAUACCUUCAGAUCAGCGGCACUGCUAUGGGUACCUGCAUGGCCCCACAGUAUGCCCACAUUUUUAUGGCUGACUUAGAAAAAUGCUUCCUCAGCUCUCGUCCCCUAACGCCCCUACUCUACUUGCGCUAUAUUGAUGACAUCUUCAUCAUCUGGACCCAUGGAAAAGAAGCCCUUGAGGAAUUCCACCAUGAUUUCAACAAUUUCCAGAAGGAACUCCAACCUCACCUUUUGUUAAAAAACAUUACACCUGUUAAACAAAUCCUUCAAAAAUCUGGGCACAGUCCUCGGACUAAACAAGCCCUAGCUGAUGUCUGCACUAUUUCGGACCUAGAGGAUAGAUGGGCUCAGUAUAUCCUCAUAUACAAACCUUCUAGUGCUGCCAAAAGAGUUGCAGCAAUUUGGUUGUUGUGGGAGGCAUGUAAGGAUUCUUACCGCUGCUUGUCUUCAUGUAAAGAGGAAAAGGCACAAACGGAAAAGGGAGCAGACAAUUGGAAGGUGCUGGCUACAAAUACCCAAAGUCAGCUGAAAAUAGUGAAAGAGGCACUCCCGGAAUGCAAAAAGAGAGAAAGAUUCCUGGCAGACCAAGCUAAAGCCUCUGAGAAAAUUGAAAGAGCGAAUCAUGUACUCCAAGAACUCUAGUAAGAGGUUGGAGAUUUGCCCCAGGGCAAAGUGAGUGUAAAAGGCUGUGAGCAGAGGGAGAUAUUUGAUCUGGGAAGCGCAGGAGUCAUCAUCUAUGCAAAUUAUAAGAACAUUAGAAAGCUGAAGAGGAGGAAGGUAGCAGGGCAAAUGAAUUUGCAGAGCAAUCUGGAAACACCUAAUUUCAAAGGCAUCUGGAUGAGGACCAAGGACCAAGAGUUUCAAGCAAUUAGUGGCUUUAGGUGCCGAACCUGAGACACAAGGCCAGUGUGUAGACUGCUGUUCGAAUUGAAACAAGUUCCUCUGCUUUGUCUGGAUAUCUCCUUGGCACUCAUCGGCUUCCAAUGCAAUUAAAUGUUCAACCAUAAUGCCAUCUGAUGGGCAAGAAAAGAAAGCAACAUGAGAAGAAAGGCUAAUCCACCUGCCUCAGCAGCCCUUCAAGGUAAAUGAAGAUCAAGCAGAUUAUAAAAUGAGCAGUAUGAUGUGGAAGAAGGAGCAGGCAGGUGAGUAGCAGGAACAGCCAAAUCCUAUUCCUGCUGUACAACGACUCUCUGCCUUGAAGAGUUUAAGGCUUUAUUCCCACUUCCAGCCAAAGUCCACUUAGUACAAGACACGGGAGUGGAAGGAGGGACUGUCUCUCUGUAAUCUCAGGUUUGGGAUUGAGUCAAUCCUCAAUACAAAUUAGAGCAUCCUCAACUAUUGUAAGCUGCGGUUGGCUGUUUAUGGACCCAAUAGCCAGGACAGUCUGACAGCCAAAAACAGCUGUCAAGUAGUGACAGACCCCUUUUCUCCAGACACAUCCUCCACUUAUCCCCUGUGCUGAGGGAAUGUGUUGGUGGCAAGAUCUGCUGUGUUUACAUCCCGGAACAGUGUAAAGGGGCCAAAUCCCAAUGAAGACUCAGUCUCUUUUCGUCUAGAGGAGCAGUUCUCAACUGGUGGUCCGUGGCCCUCUGGGGGUCUGUGAGCCCUUUCAGGGGGGCCAUGGGCCCCCAUGACUGAAACCCCAAGCCCCGGCUUCCCCUGCGGGGCUGAAGCCAGGAGCAGCAUGGGGCUGAAGCCCCAUCCCUGGUGCUCCCACCCAGGCUGAAGGUGGGAGCAGUGACGGGCUGAAACCCCAAGCUCCCUCCCACCCUUCCACUGAAGCCGGGAGCAGCAGGGCUGAAGCCCUGAGCCCAUUGGCAGAGUUGAGGGGGCAUGAGGGUGUUGCCCCACCAAACUGCAGUGCCUUACCCAGAGUGGGGCAGUCCUGGGGGCAGCUCCAUCCCCCCACCUCCUCCUUUUUCUCAGCCCCCCUCUGACCAGAUCGUAGGUGGGAAGCCAGAGCUAGGCAGUGCGGGGCAGCUGCUCCUCUGACUAGUGGUGUCAUGGAGUGGGCAGCUGUGGCAUUCCCCCAUCUGCUGCCUGCCCAGGGUUGCAGCUGUUCCUCAGCUCCCAGCCCUCUUUGACUGCUCAUGCAGCUGGUCAGCUGCCCAGGUGGGGACCCGGCUCCAGGGCCGGCCAAGCCCCUGGAGAGCAGCCACUGGCAAACAGCCCCAGACAGGUGGGUGACCUGCUGAGGUGAGUCGGGUGGGAGGUGGAGCUCCUUACCUGGACCCUGCUUUGCGGAGCUGGCCUGAGCCCUGCCGGCCGUUGCCCCCCCAAAAUAGAAGUCAAACUAUGCCUAUGCCCAAGGGUCCCACCCCUGGCCGGAGCCCUGAGUCUCUUCCCCUCUCCCCCCCUUAGCUGGGCCCUGGAGAUUUUAUAGCAUGUUGAGUGGGGCCUCAGAAAGAAAAAGGGUGAGAAGCCCUGGUCUAGAGGGCAGCUGCAGAGAAGAGACACUGGACAAUCCAAAGGAGGGCAUAUCACAGAGGUUGUCUCCCCAUAAUAUAAUUAAUAUAGGCUUGUAUCUAUCACACAAUUUUUUUUGUUAAUGCCUUUUCCCAGAAGAGCUCUCCGAUGAGCCUAACUAGUAGGGAGAGGUUUAGCUGAAACAACGGCUGCCCAAAGCCAUCGCCCACACAAACCAAACCUCAUUAUUGUUCAGAUUGGCAUAUCUCUGCCCAGUGUGGUUCCAGCAGCAGUAGAAACGUCACCGUUCAUACUGCAUUUGUGGUCUUGCAAAUCUACCCAGAAGCAGGAAGUGCUGGAAAUCUCUGGAUAAGGCUGUUCUGUCCAGACUUUCCAGCCAUGGUUUGCAGGCUUAAAUGUUUCAGAUAAGCCUCCAGGCCAUGAGGUCCUUAAUCCAAAGAGAAUGGGACUUCUGAGGCUUGCCAGGCACUGUGAUAUUUCCUAGUGUGAGGUAUACAAUCAGAAACUCACAAAUUCCUUUAUUACUAAUGCAGUUGCACCAUAUAGAAGAUGGCAGCCAGCCUAUGGAGCCAGUGAAUACUGACCUGUCACAUCUAACUUGCCCCAUUACCAUGGUAUCUGAACACCUCUCAACCAUUCUAAAGCAUUUAUCCUCACAACACCACUGUAGGGUGCUGCUUUCCUUCCCAUUAUACACCUGAGAAACAGCAGAACAUAGGCUUUACGUGGCUGGCCCAAGGUCACAGAGGAAGUCAGUGGCAAGGUCAGAAAUGGAACCGAUGUCUCUAAAGUCCCUGGCUAAUGGCCAAACGAUUAUGUAACUAUGUCAGGUGACUGAGGCCAAGAAAUAAAAAUGAGGCUCUUCCCAGCAUUUCUGUGUGUCAUCUUUUUAUUACAACAUGUCAAAAGGAAACUCAGGCCCAAAAUAGAGCUAAUGAAACCUCAUGAAUCCCUUCCUCUAGAAGGGGACCUAGGACAGAACUGAAAGAGAUGACUGUAGAGCUUCUAACUUUUCCUGGAAGGAAAUGGUGCUGAGGAGAACUAGGAGAAUGUGAAAUUCUCCAGAUUACAACGCAUGGCGGACCCAGAGACACUGGCAAACUGCAAUAUAUUGCAGCAGAAGCAUCCCAGGGGAUAAAUUAUUCACAAAUUUAAAUAUUGUGACCACGCAGGAAUGUCACUGCUUCUUCCCAACAAGCCAGACGCCAAAUGACUGAAGCAAAGAAGCUUCUCUCAAGGUCCAUUUCUGCAGGACAACACGCAGACACAGCAACAUCAGUUCUAAACAAAAUCAAUGCCUUUCUUAAUCAAAGAAGAUAUGCUGAAAGGAUGAGGAGGGAAUAAGUUCUGUUAGAGCAGUGGGUUAGGAAUCACAAAUGGGUUCUCUCUUCAACUCACAAGGAAAGCUUGGUGCCCAGAUGCUCCAAUCAAGGAUCAGGGCCCUGGGAUGCUAAGGUCUCUACAAAUAAGAAAUACCCAGCUCCAGCAGGCAUACAUUUAAUAAGCUUAUGAAAGGACACAAGAAGUCAAUGAAAUGGAGAAAAAGAAGCUGAGAGGGAAUUGAGAAGACUGCAGUAAAGGAGCAUGUUUUGACAGUCAGCAGGAACCUCAGCUUGCCUUUUGACUAGCCAUUGUCACAUGGCAAUCGACUAUGGGCAUCACAGCAGAGGCGUGACUCGAAUACCUCCUCAAGUCUUAGUUCUGCGGAUUGUAGGACUAACACUGCUCUGGUGGCUACCGAGGCCGGGACUCCAUUGUCCAGGGUGCUGUGAAAACACACAGUAAGAUGGCCUUCACUGAAGACUUCAUGAUCUAAACAGACUAGAUAAAGGAUGGGAAAAGGGAAGUAUCAUCCCUAUUAUAUGGAUGUGGAACUGUGACCCCCUUCCUAGAAUAUGAAUGCUUUCCUGAAUAAGGAAGCACGAAAGCACGUACCUAAGCCCCAUUGAAGCCACUAGGACGUAAACUGAUAUUUAAAAGCUAAACACAUAUUUCCUGAAUCAAAGCCAAGUGACUUGCUUAAUUUUAUACAGGAAGUCUAUGGCAGAGACUUGAAUAGAACCCAGAGCUCAAGUUCCAGUCAAAUGCGUGAACCAUAAGUUGAUCCUUGCUCUUUUAAUUUCUCUUCUCUCUGCUUAUAUUUUAUUAUUUAACUCUGUAAAGCUUUCAUGUUGUAUGAAGAUGCUUAUACAAAUCACAGUUGUAUUCUCUCUGUUUUAAUUGUGCCCUUGAAAACAUGACACUCUCAGAUAAAAAGGAAUCCUAAGUGAACAAUAGUGGCUAUAAUCAUAGAACCUGCUCAGAGUUACACAGUCUAAAAUUUACAAGCCAGACAAUGGGUUUCAGUUUAAAAAUAUAAAUUAUAACCCCACCAGGAAUCUUUUUUACAGUGCAAAAGCUACUCUUUGACUCUGCCAUGGGUUUUUAUUAAGGGAUUUAUAAAGGGAAAUCUUAAAUAAAUACAGCUGGUGCAAGCCACAAGUAGGACUGGAUUAUAGAUGACAAAAUUAGCCAGAUAGAUAGUCUCUGAGGUCCUUUCCAGACAGCAGUUGUAAUCAUUGUAAUAAGGGUAUGGCACACUGGAGUACUGGAAAGAAAGAAACUGGCCUUUUCUUUUCCUUCUUGGCCGUAGUCACAGGACAUAGUUGAAGGUUUUAAAAGGUUGAUACCCCUGUCAUUUGGCAGGGGGUCAGUAUCAGCUGACUUCAGCGGAUACUGUUUUCCAAAAAAUCAAACAUAGAUAAAACAUAAUAUCAAUUAGUGCUGUUCAAAAAUUCUGACCAGAUUCUUUUUCCACACAAAAUUGGGUUUUGACGUCAACUUUCUGCAGAAAGUUUUGAUUUUUCAUCCAAAAAUCCAGUGCCCCAAAAACAAAAUAUUUUGAUUUGGAUAUCCUGCUAUAGUGUUUCAUGGGAGUUUUCUAUUUCCUCAUAUCCCCUUUGUCCUCUAUCGGCUGGGCUCCCCAGCCAGACUACAUCUCCCAUGAUGCACCAUGGCCAGGGAGUCACAUGAUGCAGCCAGCUACCCUCACCAUGAGUGUAUCAUGGGAAAUGUCCAACUCGGGGAGCCUGGUCCAUACAGGAGAAUAGGAGCUUGAGGCCCCUAAACUACAAUUAUCCUGAGGCACAUUUCUGAAUAGAAACAGGAUGGGUUUUGUCUGGAAAAACAAUGGGGGGGGAGGGGUUUGCUGAAAAAUCCACAUUUUCCAGAGCAGAAAUUCCCAUUUUCUGACCAGCAAUAAUAUCAAACAAGAAGCACCACAAAUAACUGCCAGUAAGUAAAACCCCCAGACUGAGACAUCUAGGGCAGGUAUCCAUGUAGACAAAAACUCCUGAAUGAGAAGGUGAUUAUUCUGCCUCUUACUGGACACGGCAGUGACUAUUAACCCUGAACCUCAAUGCCUGUCUGCUCACAUGGCCACUUCUUGUUCCCAAAGCAGUUCCUUCUGCAGUGGCCUAGUCAGUAGCUGAGGUGGAUCCCCCACCUGAAAGCUGUGCUUGCUGCUCCCCAUGCUUUUCAUUGUUUGUGACUGGCUGACCUGUUAUUUCUGUCUGCACAUGAUGACUGGCAGUAGCUUUGUGGUUCUCUUCAAGGAAUAUGGAGCCAAUAUCGUCCUUGCUUUGUUUAUCUGUCUUGUGUUCCUCCUGUAGACCGACCCUCACAGAUAGUUACGAUAUAUGAACUUGAUGUGGGGAUGAUAUAGCUAUUCACUUGCCAGGCAGCUGCCACUUUUAGUUUGAAAUGUAACAUCCCCUCUCUCUUUCAGUGGGAGUAUGUAUGUGUAUCUUGUUUGUGUUCCAUGAACAUGCUAUUAAACAAGUUUAAUAGAUUUUUUUGCACAAACAGCAAAUGAUACAUGAAUGUUAGAGAACAUGGCAAUUAAAUACUGAACUCAUAGACAUGAAUAUUCACACAUGAUUCUAAGAGGCAUACUCAUCUAGUCAGGGAACAGAAACAAUAUCAUGUGACCUGUGUGUCAAAUCAAAACCAACUGCUCCCAUUCAAAGUCUAGAUUCUAGAAAAUGAAUUCUGGCAGUGAACUCCUUAAGAACAACUUACAGGCACAUCUUUUUUUUUUUCAGAAAUGUGGGGAAUAAUCUCGAAUAAUGAAUACACUUUUGAAAAAAAUCAAACCGCUCACAGUCCACCCACAAACAGAAAAGGUGAAAUUCAUAUAGUUAUUUGCUAUGAAUUAUUUGUUCAGUUUUAUUUCUAAUAUUAAUACUUUGCACUUCCUUAUUGUCUUUUAUUCAGGAAUCUCAAAGUACGUUCCAAAAAUUAAUUCGUUUUACAUCCCCACACUCCUGCAUGUGUGUAAUUAUACCCCUUUUACUGAGAUGCAUAGAGCUUGAUUCUUCUCUCACAGACACCUUUGUAAAUAAGGAGUAACUCACUGAAGUCAAUGUGGCUACUCACAUGCUUAAAAUAAAUCCCAUGCUUAAAUACUUUUCAGGAUCAGGGUGAGAAUAUCCAGCCUUAAGUGACUGCUGCAAGUCCACUUAGCAACACAGAAGCAGAGCCAGGAAAAGCACCCAGAAGUCCUGACUGCCAGUUCACUAGUCUCUCCCUUAGACUGCACUAAUCCUCUACAAGUCACCCAUCUUGUCCUGGCCAAUAUGCUGUUAGCAUUGUACCAGUACAUUUGAAAUAGGUAGUUCCUAUCAAAAAAUCAUACGACAUAAUACAUACCAGUGGCAUUGAUUUGCUAAAGAACUUGCUAGAAAUAUACAGUCAUUAGUAAUUGGAUCAACCUCACAAUGCUGUGAGUUCCCCAGUAAAACAAUGGAAAAUCUUUGCAGGAAGGUUCAAAAUUCUCACCUUGUAGAUAAAAAAUGUAUUACCACUCUUCUGUCCACUACCCCAUAAUUUUUACAUUGUACUGUAUUUCAUAUCACACUGGACACAAACCUUAUGAGGGUUCAUGUGUAUGUGUGUGUCUCUCUCUCUCUCUGAAUUUUCUAAUACUUAAGGGCCCAUUUCAUGUUAUUUAUUACCUCACUCGAGUAGAAGCUGAGAUCUAUAAAUCGUAAACACAGGUUCCCUAAUUCUACCAACAGCUAGUUUUAGUCACAUGUAAUUAAAACAUCCCAAAGUCUUUCCACUGUAAUGUAUUUUGAAAUGACACCACUGGGGCACAGGGAAAGGGGAGAUGGAGAAAUCAGCAGUAUGUCAACGCCAUGGCCAUAGUUAGCAUCUUUCGGGCUCUGUACAGCUCCACUGCAGUGUUGCCAAGUCUGCAGGUUUCCUGAGAUGAUUAUUUUUUAUUGGAGAUAUAUUUAUUUUAAGGGCAGUUGCACUGGUUUUCAGGAACAGUAGGGAAGUUCUGGUUUUUAGGAACAGUAGAGAAGAACUUUAGGAGAUGCUACUGUGACCCAAGCUUUAAAAAGGACAUGAUCAAAUGGUGGCAUCUCAGAUAUGGAUAAGUAAACCAGACAGGCAGGAUGAAAUAACUGACCUGAACCUUUGCCCCCGCCUCCCCCCCCCCCAUGUGAGCCAAACUGGGACAAAAGUCUUUUAUGAGUUUUGAAAAAAAGCUGGGUUAACUUUUUGUUUUAGGUUAGAUUUCAUUUAAGUGCAUCAGGCUGCUUCCCCUUUCUCAUAAAACAAGAAUAUGGGGCAAGGCAAUGAAAUGGAAAGACAGCACAAAUAAGAUUGAUGAAAGGAAUUUGUAUCGGUUUAUUUUGUACACUAUCAUAGGCGCCGAGUUUCUAAUCUGCUGAGGGGUGCUCCGCCCCGGUUCCGCCCAGGCCCUGCCCCUACUUCACCCUUUCCCCCAAUGUUCCACCCCUGCCCUGCUUCUUCCCACCCCUGCCCCGCCUCUUCCCCUCCCAGUUCCACCUCCUCCCCUGAGCGUGCUGCACCCUCGCUUCUACCUCCUCCUCCCCCAGGGCCUCUGAUUUUAGAAGGAGCAGGAGGCUCCAGGGGAGAGGGAGAGGUGCUGAUCGGCAGGGCCCACUGCAGGGCAGGAGGCGCUGUGGGGAGGGAGAGUCAUUGAUGGGGGACUGCCAGUGGGUGCUCAGCACCCAACAUAUUUUCCCCAUGCAUGCUUCAUGGAGUUGGCGCCUAUGAACACUACACAUAACUAACCUGUGGAACUCACAGCCACAAGAUAUCACACAGACUAAGAGUUUAGUAAAAUGAACAAAGGUCUACAGAUUUACAUGGACAAAUGAGACCAUCCAGAGUUAUAUUAGAUAGAAUGGGCCAGAUUCCUAGCUGGCGUAAAUGGGCAUGCUGCCACUGAUUUGGGUGGGUCCACGUGGCUUCUUCCGGGGCCACAGAGGGCAGCAGCAUAGAUGAAGAACUUUGGCGAGGGCCCCGCCUGCCCGGCAAUAAAUAAAAGCUGCAAUCACUACUGCUGGGAUAGGAGGUAGAACUGUGGGGCAGACCAGCCAGAAGCUCCUUUAGGGGCUGGAGCUACAGUGGCUGAACUCUGGACUCUACAAACACUGGACAACAAACAGCAACAGAAGAAAGUGCCCAUGGUGAGCAUUGCUUUAUUGAACACGGACCUUGAAUUUAAGACCAUUGCCAAGACACUCCGAGGAGUGGGAGUCUUACUUAAUAGGUCUAUUUAGAUAUUUUUGAUUGAAUAUUGCAGGCUUUCCCAGGUGUGGGCGCCCCCUUUCCCCACAAACCUCUGGACUCCGUGGUUGUGACUGGGUAAGGAUUGGCUGUCAAGGGCACCCAGGGAAGUAUUUAGCUUUCCCAUGUUUCUGGGUGGGGGCUCUGGCCGGUGUUAUUUGUUACAUUUUCAUAAGGAACCCCUAGAUAUUUGAACGUGAUCCUUUUUGCUCCAGCAGCCCCUGGCAGAAAGGUUACAUAGCAAUAGGCUUUUCUGUGCGAUGCAAGGUCCAUAACAUGAGUCUCAUUCCAUUUCUCGCCAGUAGUCAGAGAAAUUAUGUUUCUUCCUAUGUACUGUGUCUUCAAGUAUAUUAUCUGUCACAUAUUUACCUGGAAAUGUUGGUGUCAUCCAGUCCUAUAUCAUUAAGGUCAAGGGAUAAAAAUCACAGCUUCCUUUUGCUUGUAAAUUUCCUCUGUUGGCUAUAUGCAUGUUAAUCUCUCAUUGUUUAAUAAAGAGAAGACCUUGGCAAUGUU